rnacentral:ribozyme from 1 species
GAGAGCACAGUACGAUGAAAGUUGUAAGCUGUGUUCAGGGGGGAGUUAUUAUCUAUCAUUGGCCUCUAU